rnacentral:snRNA from 1 species
GGAUGUGAGGGCAUGCUGGUUGUAACAUCUGUCACCCGCUGGUUGCCAGGGUUAGUUCAGCUGAUGGGUGUCCCCUUCCUCCGUCAUUACUCCAUGUAAUGUCCCUCCAAAGCUGCAUGCUUAGUGGAAAAGGAGACCAUCUCAGAUAGAAGAAGUAUACUAUUUUUCAGUCAAGGUUAUCUAAUCUAUCUGUCUUGUGGGGUCAUUUUGUUGAUGCAUCCACAAGGAUGACAACCUAGAAGGCAAAGGCUGAUUACUGUAAAUGAAUAUAAUUGAGUGUGUGGCAAGACCUUUAGU